GCUCGAGAUGUUGAAAAACCGAGGUGUGACACUGGAAUUCAAUUCCAGCUUCGUUUUUACUCUUUAUUUUUGCUGGAUUGCAAAAGUUAACUCCUGAACUUGUUCUUGAAGGGACUUCAUUUUCUGCAUCAGUUAGAACAACUUCGUCUAAUGGUUGUGAAUUUUAUAUAUUAACAAUUGAUGAAAGCUCUUAACAACAGUAUCAGUUUCCCGGUUUCAUAUGACCGGCAUCUUCCGGUCUUCACCACCUCUGCAUAACCCAUCUCCAAACUCAAAACACAGCCCCCAGACGUCGAUUCUUAGGAACAGUAUCCUCAUCUCAGCCGCUGCUUUCUGAUCCAACGUCCACUAUGUGUUCGCCUCUUCUUCCUGGCCGGCCGGUGUUAAAGCUUCUGUGGCAAUCGAAAAGGAUUCAGGUACCGCACGCUAGGGUUUAGUGUUGCUGCUUUUACCCACCCGCCACAAUCGACCUCUUAGGUUUGCCUCUGUAAAUCGUAGGUGGAGAUGGUGUUGGGUUAGGUUAGGGUUUCGCAGGUGGCGAGCGAUGGUGAUUGUGGAACGCCUGUCUGCAUCUUCCACCUCCACCGUCAACAUCCGCCUCCACACUCACACCUCUGAUAAGGCUAAUUUUCCUUAAGAGAAGAAAUUGGUUGCUGUUGAUGAUUUUGAGAACCAUGAUAGGUAAUGGUGCUAUUGGUGAGGUAUGGUUACAAUUUCCAUCCCUUUAGAUGUUUUUUUUAUGCUAGAUGUAUUUCGCAACUCUAAAUGUUACUAGCAGUAGUAUUUAAUAUAAAAAAACAACAGCCAAUGUAUAUGUCAAUGGUUACAACUCUGGAUGUCUGGUUAUUCUCAUUAUACAACUUCCCCAAAGAUGCAUCUUAGGUUUAUCGACAGCAACUACCUCUAAUAAGUUAAAAGUUGAUGGAUAAAGAAAGAAGAAGGAUAUGAAAUUAGUAACCCACAAUAGAUAGUGUAACCAACCAUGGAACACUUUGCAGCUGCCAUAACUACUUUAUAUUAAUGUUUGAAUCUGAAAUAUGACUAUUUGGUAAUCAAAUAAAAAAAGUAACAUAUUUAUCGUAUAUUUUGCCAACUAAUGAAUGUUGUUGCUUCUUUUGUUGCAGUGAGCAACAAACAUGUUACUAGAUCAAUCAAUGUAUAAACAUUGAAGGAUUUUUGGCUCUGAUACCAAAUGAUAAGAAUCAGAGUACACAACUCGUAAAAAAUUGAAAUCAAAUCAAACGAAUAUACUAUAGGUUUAAAGAGUUAAAAAACACCACUUGAUUAAUCCGUAGGAUAGUUUAAUAUGUGUUUAUGAUACAUGACUCACCACCUAAAUUUGUAAUUAGAUUCCAAAGAAGAACACUUAAGUGGUCAAACUUGAGUUAGCACUUAAGUGGCCAAACUUGAGCUAGCAAUAGAAACCUGGUAACUCAUUAAAUGAUAUAAAACAGAAAAUAAUAAUAUUUAAAAACCCGUUGGCUUUUU
rnacentral:lncRNA from 1 species